rnacentral:rRNA from 1 species
UUUAAAGAGAGUUUGAUCCUGGCUCAGGACGAACGCUGGCGGCGUGCCUAAUACAUGCAAGUCGAACGAACGGAGGAAGAGCUUGCUCUUCCAAAGUUAGUGGCGGACGGGUGAGUAACACGUGGGCAACCUGCCUGUAAGUUGGGGAUAACUCCGGGAAACCGGGGCUAAUACCGAAUGAUAAGAUGUGGCGCAUGCCACGCCUUUGAAAGAUGGUUUCGGCUAUCGCUUACAGAUGGGCCCGCGGUGCAUUAGCU